GUCUACGGCCAUACCACCCUGAACGCUCCCGAUCUCGUCUGAUCUCAGAAGCUAAGCAGGGUCGAGCCUGGUUAGUACUUAGAUGGGAGACUGCCUGGGAAUACCGGGUGCUGUAGGCU
rnacentral:rRNA from 1 species